AUGCAUGUCUAAGUAUAAACAACUUUAUACUGUNAAACUGCGAACGGAUAUCAGCAAUAAUUUAUUUGAUGGUUCCUUACUACAUGGAUAACUGUAGUAAUUCUAGAGCUAAUACAUGCGUAAAGUCCCGACUCUNNCGGGGAGGGAUGUAUUUAUUAGAUAAAAAACCAAUGCGGGCUCUGUCCGGUUUUGUGGUGAAUCAUAGUAACUUUUCGAAUGGCAUGACUUCACGUCGGCCAUAUUUCAUUCAAAUUUCUGCCCUAUCAGGUUUCGACGGUAGUGUAGUGGACUACCGUGGCNUUAACGGGUAACGGAGAAUUAGGGUUCGAUUCCGGAGAGGGAGCCUGAGAAACGGCUACCACAUCCAAGGAAGGCAGCAGGCGCGCAAAUUACCCAAUCCUGANNNNNNNNAGGUAGUGACAAAAAAUAACAAUACCUGGCCUUUUUAGGUCGGGUAAUUGGAAUGAGUACAAUUUAAAUCCCUUAACGAGGACCNAUUGGAGGGCAAGUCUGGUGCCAGCAGCCGCGGUAAUUCCAGCUCCAAGAGCAUAUAUUAAAGUUGUUGCAGUUAAAAAAGCU
rnacentral:rRNA from 1 species